ACACUCCUACGGGAGGCAGCAGUGGGGAAUAUUGCACAAUGGGCGCAAGCCUGAUGCAGCCAUGCCGCGUGUAUGAAGAAGGCCUUCGGGUUGUAAAGUACUUUCAGCGGGGAGGAAGGCGAUAAGGUUAAUAACCUUGUCGAUUGACGUUACCCGCAGAAGAAGCACCGGCUAACUCCGUGCCAGCAGCCGCGGUAAUACGGAGGGUGCAAGCGUUAAUCGGAAUUACUGGGCGUAAAGCGCACGCAGGCGGUCUGUCAAGUCGGAUGUGAAAUCCCCGGGCUCAACCUGGGAACUGCAUUCGAAACUGGCAGGCUAGAGUCUUGUAGAGGGGGGUAGAAUUCCAGGUGUAGCGGUGAAAUGCGUAGAGAUCUGGAGGAAUACCGGUGGCGAAGGCGGCCCCCUGGACAAAGACUGACGCUCAGGUGCGAAAGCGUGGGGAGCAAACAGGAUUAGAAACCCGUGUAGUCCCA
rnacentral:rRNA from 1 species